rnacentral:rRNA from 1 species
AUUGAACGCUGGCGGCAGGCCUAACACAUGCAAGUCGAACGAGUGGCGGACGGGUGAGUAAUGUCUGGGAAACUGCCUGAUGGAGGGGGAUAACUACUGGAAAAGGUAGCUAAUACCGCAUACCAUCAGAUGUGCCCAGAUUGGAUUAGCUAGGUGGGGGGGUAACGGCUCACCACGGCGACGAUCCCUAGCUGGUCUGAGAGGAUGACCAGCCACACUGGAACUGAGACACGGUCCAGCCUCCUACGGGAGGCAGCAGUGGUGAAUAUGGCACAAGGGGCGCAAGCCUGAUGCAGCCGUGCCGCGUGUAUGAAGAGGGCCUUCGGGUUGUAAAGUACUUUCAGCGGGGAGGCGUUACCCGCAGAAGAAGCACCGGCUAACUCCGUGCCAGCAGCCGCGGUAAUAC